AAAGGUAAGCUACUAAGAGCGAAUGGUGGAUGCCUUGACUGGUAAAGGCGAUGAAGGACGUACUAGACUGCGAUAAGCUACGGGGAGCUGUCAAGAAGCUUUGAUCCGUAGAUUUCCGAAUGGGGCAACCCAAUGUAUAGAGAUAUACAUUACCUAUAUAGGAGCGAACGAGGGGAAUUGAAACAUCUUAGUACCCUCAGGAAAAGAAAUCAAUAGAGAUUGCGUCAGUAGCGGCGAGCGAAAGCGCAAGAGGGCAAACCCAGUGCUUGCACUGGGGGUUGUAGGACUGCAAUGUGCAAGAGGUGAGUUUAGCAGAACAUUCUGGAAAGUAUAGCCAUAGAGGGUGAUAGUCCCGUAUGCGAAAAACAAACCUUAGCUAGCAGUAUCCUGAGUAGGGCGGGACACGAGAAAUCCUGUCUGAAGCUGGGUCGACCACGAUCCAACCCUAAAUACUAAUACCAGAUCGAUAGUGCACAAGUACCGUGAGG
rnacentral:rRNA from 1 species